GCUGGCGGCGUGCCUAACACAUGCAAGUCGAACGGUAACAGGGACUUCGGUCCGCUGACGAGUGGCGCACGGGUGAGUAACGCGUGGAGUUACCUACCCAUCAGUGAGGAACAACCUGGAGAAAUCCAGGCUAAUACCGCAUACGACCUUCGGGUGAAAGAGGGGGAUCUUCGGACCUCUCGCUGAUGGAUGGUUCCGCGUCCGAUUAGUUAGUUGGUAAGGUAAUGGCUUACCAAGACGAUGAUCGGUAGCUGGUUUGAGAGGAUGAUCAGCCACACUGGAACUGAGACACGGUCCAGACUCCUACGGGAGGCAGCAGUGGGGAAUUUUGCACAAUGGGCGCAAGCCUGAUGCAGCGACSCCGCGUGCGGGAAGAAGGCCUUCGGGUUGUAAACCGCUUUCAACAGGGAAGAAGGAAUGAGGGUCAAUACCCCUCUGCCUUGACGGUACCUGUAGAAGAAGCCCCGGCUAAUUUCGUGCCAGCAGCCGCGGUAAUACGAAAGGGGCAAGCGUUGUUCGGAUUUACUGGGCGUAAAGAGAUCGUAGGUGGCUUGUUAAGUCGGAUGUGAAAUCCCGGGGCUCAACCCCGGAACUGCAUUCGAUACUGGCAGGCUUGAGUUCGGGAGGGGGAAGCGGAAUUCCGUGUGUAGCAGUGAAAUGCGUAGAUAUACGGAGGAACACCUGAGGCGAAGGCGGCUUCCUGGACCGAUACUGACACUGAGGAUCGAAAGCGUGGGUAGCAAACAGGAUUAGAUACCCUGGUAGUCCACGCCCUAAACGAUGUCUACUAGCCGUUGCGGGUAUCGACCCCUGCAGUGGCGCAGCUAACGCAAUAAGUAGACCGCCUGGGGAGUAC
rnacentral:rRNA from 1 species